ensembl:lncRNA
GGGAAUGGAUACCCACUCCAGUAUUCUUGCCUGGAGAAUUCCAUGGACAGAGGAGCCUGGCUGGCUAUAGUCCACAGGGACUCAAAGAGUUGGACACGCAGAUUCAGAUACGACUGAGCAACUACCACUUUAAAGGUUGCUGCUGCUGCUACUGCUGCUGCUGCUAAGUCGCUUCAAGACGGACAUGACUGACUCAACUUAGCAGCAGGAGCAGGCUGUGUUUCUCUCACUCUUUUCUCUGCUUUGAUAUUGAAAGUCCUUCAUACGCCUCUCCAGGGUAUCUUUCCCUGCUCAGCACAGCAAUCUCAACCCAAGGCCUGGUCAAGUCUACAGAACGCUGAGAUGCAGCUUGACCUGGGCUGUAAGAAGCAGUUCUGUACCCAUUGUGGGGGCUGCCAUUGUCUCCUGGGCUCCAGAGCCGCUGCACUUAGGCACAGAGUUACUACACUCAUGAACACCGCAGCACCAUCUCCCAGCCUAACCUUAACUUAAGGGGCCUCCGCGUAGCCACAUAGGUCUUUUCAGUUCCGUUCAGUUGUGUCCGAGGCCUUUUAGGCACACUGAUACUCUCCACCCUUCUGACUUCUCUCUUGUCCUUUCAGUGGCAGCUUCUCCAAACCUCCAUAUCUAUCAGCUCACUCAGGUAGGUGUUCUGGAAGCUUUAGAAGGGUGUAUCUUAAUCAUUAUACAGGAGUAUGGAAAUUCCAUUUCUGGUUCAGUCCAUAUGACAGCAAAAAAGGCAAGAAAAUCUUUUAGGUAUCUGGGAAAACACAGGAGGCUUGGAGAUGUUUAAAAAUUUCAUACUUUGCUGUGUAUCUGAAACUAAUGUGCAUGUGUGCUAAGUCACUUCAGCUGUGUCUGACUCUUUGCAACCCUACGGAUUGUAGCCCUCCAGGCUCCUCUGUCCAUGGGGAUUCUCCAGGCAAGAAUACUGGAGUGGGCUGGCAUGCCCUCCUCCAGGGGAUCUUCCCAUCCAGGGAUCAAACCUGGGUCUCCUGCAUUGCAGGCAGAUUCUUAACCAUCUCAGCCACCAGGCAAGCCCUCUGAAACUAAGCAAACACUGUAAAUCAACUAUAUUUUAUUGUUUUAGUUGGAGGAUAAUUGUUUAACAGUGUUGUGUGGUCUCUGCCUUACAUCAAUGAAAAUCAGUCAUAAUUUUAUAUAUAUAUAUUCCCUCUCUCUUGAGCGCCCCACCCGCAUUUCCGCCCCUCUAGGUCAUCACAGAGUGCAAGGCUGGGCUCCCUGUGUUACACAGCAGCUUCCCACUAGUGAUCUAUGUUACACGUGAGAGUGUAUAUAUGUCAAUGCUACUUUCUCAGUUUCUCCUGACAUCUCCUUCCUCUGCUGUGUCCAUAAGUCCGUCCUCUAUGUCUGCAUUUCCACUUCUUUGUAAAUGGGUUCAUCAGUACUUUCUUCCAGAUUCCAUAUAUAUACAUUAAUAUAUGCUAUUUGUUUUUCAUUUCCUGAUCUACUUCACUCUGUAUAAUAGUCUUUAGGUUCAUCCACCUCAUUAAAACGGACUGAAAUGCAUUCCUUUUUUAUGGUUGAGUGACAUUCCGUUGUAUAUAUGUACCACAACUUCUUUAUCCACUCUUCUAGGU